UACGUAGGGGGCUAGCGUUGUCCGGAAUCAUUGGGCGUAAAGAGCGUGUAGGCGGCUCGGUAAGUCCGCUGUGAAAGUCGGGGGCUCAACCCUCGAAUGCCGGUGGAUACUGUCGGGCUAGAGUGCGGGAAGAGGCGAGUGGAAUUCCUGGUGUAGCGGUGAAAUGCGCAGAUAUCAGGAGGAACACCAAUUGCGAAGGCAGCUCGCUGGAACGUAACUGACGCUGAGACGCGAAAGCGUGGGGAGCAAACAGG
rnacentral:rRNA from 1 species